rnacentral:rRNA from 1 species
GAUGAACGCUAGCUACAGGCUUAACACAUGCAAGUCGAGGGGCAGCAUGGUCUUAGCUUGCUAAGGCCGAUGGCGACCGGCGCACGGGUGAGUAACACGUAUCCAACCUGCCGUCUACUCUUGGACAGCCUUCUGAAAGGAGGAUUAAUACAAGAUGGCAUCAUGAGUCCGCAUGUUCACAUGAUUAAAGGUAUUCCGGUAGACGAUGGGGAUGCGUUCCAUUAGAUAGUAGGCGGGGUAACGGCCCACCUAGUCUUCGAUGGAUAGGGGUUCUGAGAGGAAGGUACCCCACAUUGGAACUGAGACACGGUCCAAACUCCUACGGGAGGCAGCAGUGAGGAAUAUUGGUCAAUGGGCGAGAGCCUGAACCAGCCAAGUAGCGUGAAGGAUGACUGCCCUAGGGGUUGUAAACUUCUUUUAUAAAGGAAUAAAGUCGGGUAUGGAUACCCGUUUGCAUGUACUUUAUGAAUAAGGAUCGGCUAACUCCGUG